rnacentral:rRNA from 1 species
UACGAAGGGGGCUAGCGUUGCUCGGAAUCACUGGGCGUAAAGGGUGCGUAGGCGGGUCUUUAAGUCAGAGGUGAAAUCCUGGAGCUCAACUCCAGAACUGCCUUUGAUACUGAGAGUCUUGAGUUCGGGAGAGGUGAGUGGAACUGCGAGUGUAGAGGUGAAAUUCGUAGAUAUUGGGAAGAACACCGGUGGCGAAGGCGGCGCUCUGGACCGAGACUGACGCUGAGGCGCGAAAGCGUGGGGGAGCAAACAGG